rnacentral:rRNA from 1 species
UUGAACGCUGGCGGCAGGCCUAACACAUGCAAGUCGAACGGUAGCACAGAGGAGCUUGCUCCUUGGGUGACGAGUGGCGGACGGGUGAGUAAUGUCUGGGAAACUGCCCGAYGGAGGGGGAUAACUACUGGAAACGGUAGCUAAUACCGCAUAANGUCGCAAGACCAAAGAGGGGGACCUUCGGGCCUCUUGCCAUCGGAUGUGCCCAGAUGGGAUUAGCUAGUAGGUGGGGUAACGGCUCACCUAGGCGACGAUCCCUAGCUGGUCUGAGAGGAUGACCAGCCACACUGGAACUGAGACACGGUCCAGACUCCUACGGGAGGCAGCAGUGGGGAAUAUUGCACAAUGGGCGCAAGCCUGAUGCAGCCAUGCCGCGUGUAUGAAGAAGGCCUUCGGGUUGUAAAGUACUUUCAGCGAGGAGGAAGGCGUUGAGGUUAAUAACCUCAACGAUUGACGUUACUCGCAGAAGAAGCACCGGCUAACUYCSKGCCAGCAGCCGCGGUAAUACGGAGGGUGCAAGCGUUAAUCGGAAUUACUGGGCGUAAAGCGCACGCAGGCGGUCUGUCAAGUCGGAUGUGAAAUCCCCGGGCUCAACCUGGGAACUGCAUCCGAAACUGGCAGGCUAGAGUCUUGUANAGGGGGGUAGAAUUCCAGGUGUAGCGGUGAAAUGCNUAAAGAUCUGGAGGAAUACCGGUGGCGAAGGGGCCCCCUGGACAANACUGACNCUC